rnacentral:misc_RNA from 1 species
AGUCGUUCAGAAGAAGCCUGC